CGCAACGCCGCGUGAGUGAUGAAGGGCCUUACGGGUCGUAAAGCUCUGUCAAGUGGGAAGAACCUGCCUUGUGAUAAUACCACGAGGCACUGACGGUACCACUGAAGGAAGCACCGGCUAACUCCGUGCCAGCAGCCGCGGUAAUACGGGGGGUGCUAGCGUUAUUCGGAAUCAUUGGGCGUAAAGGGCGCGUAGGCGGUCUCUUAAGUCAGAUGUGAAAGCCCUCGGCUUAACCGAGGAAGUGCAUUUGAAACUAAGGGACUUGAGUAUGGGAGAGGGAAGCGGAAUUCCUGGUGUAGCGGUGAAAUGCGUAGAUAUCAGGAGGAACACCGGUGGCGAAGGCGGCUUCCUGGACCAAUACUGACGCUGAGGCGCGAAGGCGUGGGGAGCAAACAGGAUUAGAUACCCUGGUAGUCCACGCAGUAAACGGUGAACACUAGGUGUAGCGGGUAUUGACCCCUGCUGUGCCGAAGCUAACGCAUUAAGUGUUCCGCCUGGGAAGUACGGCCGCAAGGUUA
rnacentral:rRNA from 1 species